CACCAACGGUGGGGCUCCGGCGGCCGCACCUGUCUGCACGACCGCCACUCAACACAUGCUCACCGAUAGGGCCGUGUCUACCUAUUUUCGUAUCCCGGGCCAACACUCGGAUACACCACCCUUCGUUCAGUCUCUUUCAGGCGCCCUCGUAACGUGGCGCCUAGGGGCACGUGACCCUGCCUGAUGACGGCCCUGGUCCAUGGUAUCACGGUACGCGAGCGAUAUCUUACGAGCUCUGCGAGUGCGACGAAGAGGCAACUAACGGCCGUUCGUGCGGUACGACGAGGAUGGAAGCUACUACCUAACGAAUGACGCAGAGGAGAGAGGGACCGUGAUCACCGCGGUUUUCUCGACGAGUUUCGGCGUGGCGCAGUUGGCAGGCAUGCGAAUGAACGAGCGGUGAGGACGACGGAGACUGCGGAUCAAGAGCGCUCGCGCGAUAAACGAAGACGGAAAACGAAGGACGAUACGAGGGAAGAGAAUGAAAAAAGAAGAGAGAGAAAACAGAUGACAGACAGUGGCGGGUGGUACACUCACCCCCGUAUACGCGACCCUUCGCGAUGCGGCAAUAAACGUGUGUGCCGUAUGCCCUCUUAUGUAGAAAUCUACCUGAGAUAGUACCGAGUCUCUCCUCGCUCGUUCGUCGAGCGUUUGUUAAAGAAGAAAAACCGGUAGGUUGUAUUAAGGUCUCUCACUCUCUCUCUUUCUUUUCAUAGGACGAGAUCGAUUCUUUCGGCCCUUUCGUUGGUGCCCGACGAGGUUCUUUCGCACCUUCUUGCGAGAGACUCGCGUUAUCGAUCGUGGAACGACCUCACUCACUUCUCCUACUCCCUCGAGGUCAGGAGACGAGAUUUUCCUCUCGCUUUUUAUUCCCUUUUUUCAACGGCAAACCACGGUAAUUUUCUUCGCGGUCAUCGACAUUUCUCAUUCAUAGAACCCUCAUAGACAAAACGGGCUGCAAUCUUCAAUCUAAAUCGAUCGAGUUCGCGCUGGAACGCGUUUCGCUAAAUUGAUCCACUCGCAGUCUUCGAGAGCGGCUCUAUUACAUCGUUACCGGUAAAUUUUCUUCUUUUUAUCGCGUAUCGAGAGUAGACCAAAAAUGGUCUUUACAUUUCUAAUCGUACGGAGAUUUUCGUCCAUUGGCGUGCCAACUUAUUAGGUGCCUUUUAUUUUCAUUUUCUUCUUCGCAACGACAUCUUUUCGUUCAUCUCAUGUUUACAUUAGAUUUUAGGUUACGCAUUUAAGUCGCAUCCGAUCCAGUUAGGCUGUAAAACAAUCUUAUCUGCUAUAAUACAAUUCUUAUGCGUACAUUUUGUUUUGCAUUCGAUAUACCGCCCACGAAAUCGUUAGAUUUAAUCAAACAAACACCGACACUAAUGAGACGGAUACAUUUUGCGAUGUAUUGGAAGUAACAUUACGAGUAGUUUACACCUUGUCAAGAACUAGACGUAAAGAACUAAUCGUACAUUUCACUUGUAUCAUUACCGAGCUUAUCGCGCGUGUCUAUAGUUACAAGAAGUUUACCAUUACGAUAAAAAUACUUUCGCUAACGAUAAUGUUGACUUUAUGACGAACAGAUGUUCGGACAUAUGCCUCUACUUUGCGAAAACCUUAGGAAGAACUAUCGAAAUAAAUAUAAAUUACUCGUUAUCG